AUGGGGGGUCCAAACCCCGCAAGGCUGCUGCUCGGCUCCGCUUUCGUCCAAGAAAGCCUUUUCCAACAGCAACUUUACAGCAAGGGACAAGAACAAAGACUUUAUCUGUUGUUUCUUCAACAUGACACCAACAGGAGCAAUGGGGGAUCCCAUUAGAGCUGACGGCUGUGUUCCUGAACCCGGUGGGACGGAGAGGAACGACCACGAAAGAUCGACAUUCCUUCUGUCUGAUGCAGGAUAGAGAACGGCCCUCUGGGGAAUUGUAUCCUCAUGUUUAUUCUUUUUUUAUUUCUAAAUCAUGUAUAUCUUUAUUUUUUAUGGUUAUGGCGUGCGGUACAGAUGAAUUAUGACGCUGGGGCUGUUUCCCCAUCUAUGUGAUUAAUAACA
rnacentral:lncRNA from 1 species